AACGGGAUCCCCAAGCUGAGGCAGAUCCCUUCCCUCCAACCAGCCUGUGAUACUGUCUGUAAGUUGAUGGAAAAAAGAAUAAACACUAUCCCGGGACCAAUAUCCACUCCGGAGAAAUACGUUUAAUUGAUGCAGUUGAAAUAACAGAUUCUGUCUCUCACAGUUGAAGUGUACCUAUGAUGGAAAUUACAGACCUCUCUCAUCUUUUUAAGUGGGUCAACUUGCACAAUAGGUGGCUGCCCAAAUUACUUUUUGCCCCACUGUAUAUAUAUAUAUAUAUAUAUAUAUAUAUAUACGGUUGAGUAUCCCUUAUCCAAAAUGCUUGGGACCAGAGGUAUUUUGGAUAUGGGAUUUUUCCGUAUUUUGGAAUAAUUGCAUACCAUAAUGAGAUAUCAUAGUGAUGGGACCCAAGUCUAAGCACAUAAUGUAUUUAUGUUUCAUAUACACCUUAUACACACAGCCUGAAGGUAAUUUUAGCCAAUAUUUUUUAUAACUUUGUGCAAUAAACAAAGUGUGUGUACAUUCACACAAUUCAUUUAUGUUUCUUAUACACCUUAUACACACAGCCUGAAGGUCAUUUAAUACAAUAUUUUUAAUAACUUUGUGUAUUAAACAAAGUUGUGUACAUUGAGACAUCAAAAAACAAAAGUUUCACUAUCCUACUCUCACUCAAAAAAGUCCGUAUUUCGGAAUAUUCCAUAUUUCGGAUAUUUGGAUAUGGGAUACUCAACCUGUAUAUAUAUAUAUAUAUAUAUAUAUAUAUAUAUACAUAUAUAUAUAUAUAUAUAUGCAAAUAGUUGUUAUUUGAG